rnacentral:rRNA from 1 species
UGGGGAAUAUUGGACAAUGGGCGCAAGCCUGAUCCAGCCAUGCCGCGUGAGUGAUGAAGGCCUUAGGGUUGUAAAGCUCUUUCAGUGGGGAAGAUAAUGACGGUACCCACAGAAGAAGCCCCGGCUAACUUCGUGCCAGCAGCCGCGGUAAUACGAAGGGGGCUAGCGUUGUUCGGAUUUACUGGGCGUAAAGCGCACGUAGGCGGAUUGGUCAGUUAGGGGUGAAAUCCCAGAGCUCAACUCUGGAACUGCCUCUAAUACUGCCAGUCUAGAGUCCGGAAGAGGUAAGUGGAACUCCUAGUGUAGAGGUGGAAUUCGUAGAUAUUAGGAAGAACACCAGUGGCGAAGGCGGCUUACUGGUCCGGUACUGACGCUGAGGUGCGAAAGCGUGGGGAGCAAACAGG